rnacentral:lncRNA from 1 species
UGCAUACAUUCCCCUGAAAACGAUACCAUUCAACUGUGAGGCUAUCUACCCAUAGUCAACAUACCAAAAGAUCUCAGGGUUGUGCUUUGGAGUGUCCCGAGUCAAUGGAUACUCGGGGUGAAGAAGAACAUGAGAAAUGGCCACCGAGACUUGCGGCAGAUACGAAACAUUCUUGACAGGAUUUCUCGCCAGUCACGUGAUGCUGUUUCUGCAGGAAAUGCCCUCGCGGAAUAAAUUUUACUUGCA